AGCCUAGUGGUUAGAGGAGGCAGGUAGCCUAGUGGUUAGAGGAGACAGGUAGCCUAGUGGUUAGAGGAGCCAGGUAGCCUAGUGGUUAGAGGAGCCAGGUAGCCUAGUGGUUACAGGAGACAGGUAGUCUAGUAGUUAGAGGAGGCAGGUAGCCUAGUGGUUAGAGGAGGCAGGUAGCCUAGUGGUUAGAGGAGCCAGGUAGCCUAGUGGUUAGAGGAGGCAGGUAGUCUAGUGAUUAGAGGAGGCAGGUAGCCUAGUGGUUAGAGGAGUCAGGUAGCCUAGUGGUUAGAGGAGGCAGGUAGUCUAGUGGUUAGAGGAGACAGGUAGCCUAGUGGUUAGAGGAGGCAGGUAGCCUAGUGGUUAGAGGAGGCAGGUAGCCUAGUGGUUAGAGGAGGCAGGUAGCCUAGUGGUUAGAGGAGGCAGGUAGUCUAGUGGUUAGAGGAGGCAGGUAGCCUAGUGGUUAGAGGAGGUAGGUAGCCUAGUGGUUAGAGGAGGCAGGUAGUCUAGUGGUUAGAGGAGGCAGGUAGCCUAGUGGUUAGAGGAGACAGGUAGCCUAGUGGUUAGAGGAGACAGGUAGCCUAGUGGUUAGAGGAGACAGGUAGCCUAGUGGUUAG